rnacentral:lncRNA from 1 species
AUGAUCGUCUUCCGGUUUUUGACACGCAGUCGGCGUGGGACCAAGAUGAGCGAUGGGCAGAAGAUCUCAGCCUCCAUCAACGGGUUGCGGCUGCCGGGCUCGGCGGAGGGCGGGGCGGGCCGGCCGGUCCGGGCCGUGAGCCUCCGGCCCCCCCCCCGCCCGGCUCGGCCCCCGCUGCGCCGACUCGGCCAUCCCGACCCUGGAGAUCGGCGACCCCGAGGCCGUCCAGUGCGGCGCGCCGGGCGUCCGGCCGAAGCCCCGCGAGCCCCCGGCCCGGCCGGCCCCCCGCCCGGCGUCGCCGCCCUCCCCGCCGUCGUCCUCGUCCUCCUCGGCGUCGUCGGCGUCCUCGGCGGAGCGGGAUGGGUCCGCCGGCCCCCGGUCCGCCUUCCCCGGCGGCGGGCCGGCCCCCGGCCGCGGCGACGGGCCCGCGGCGGGCGACGGGGCCGGCCCGGGCCCCGAGGACGGGGCCGACUUCACGGCCACCAGCGGCUCCAGCGCCAUCGUCACCCUGGGCGGCGACGAGGCCCCCUUCUCCGACGUGACGCUCAGCUCGGCCAAGGACGGCGGCCGCCCGGCCCGGCCCCCGCCCCCGCCCGGCCCCGCCGGCCCCGAACCCGCCGGGACCGCGGGCUCGGCCGCGGCGGGCAACUUCUUCACCAGGUAAGGCCGGCCGGGCGUUUUCCCCCGGGGCUGCUCGCCGG